rnacentral:rRNA from 1 species
AGAGUUUGAUCCUGGCUCAGGAUGAACGCUGGCGGUCUGCUUAACACAUGCAAGUCGAACGGAGUAGAAAUACUUAGUGGCGGACGGGUGAGUAACGCGUGAGAAUCUGCCUUCAGGACGGAGACAACAGUUGGAAACGACUGCUAAGCCCCGAUGAACCGAAAGGGAAAAUAUUUAUAGCCUGAAGAUGAGCUCGCGUCCGAUUAGCUAGUUGGUGGAGUAACGGUUUACCAAGGCGACGAUCUGUAUUUGGUCUGAGAGGAUGACCAGACACACUGGGACUGAGACACGGCCCAGACUCCUACGGGAGGCAGCAGUGGGGAAUUUUCCGCAAUGGGCGAAAGCCUGACGGAGCAAUACCGCGUGAGGGAGGACGGCUUUUGGGUUGUAAACCUCUUUUAUCAGGGAAGAAACAAAUGACGGUACCUGAUGAAUCAGCAUCGGCUAACUCCGUGCCAGCAGCCGCGGUAAUACGGAGGAUGCAAGCGUUAUCCGGAAUUAUUGGGCGUAAAGCGUCCGUAGGUGGUUGUUCAAGUCUGCUGUCAAAGCGUGGAGCUUAACUCCAUACCGGCAGUGGAAACUGGGCGACUAGAGUGCGAUAGGGGUAACGGGAAUUCCCAGUGUAGCGGUGAAAUGCGUAGAGAUUGGGAAGAACACCAGCGGCGAAAGCGCGUUACUGGGUCUGCACUGACACUGAGGGACGAAAGCUAGGGGAGCGAAAGGGAUUAGAUACCCUAGUAGUCC